rnacentral:rRNA from 1 species
GAUGAACGCUGGCGGCGUGCCUAAUACAUGCAAGUCGAGCGAACAGAUGAGGAGCUUGCUCCUCUGACGUUAGCGGCGGACGGGUGAGUAACACGUGGAUAACCUACCUAUAAGACUGGGAUAACUUCGGGAAACCGGAGCUAAUACCGGAUAAUAUAUUGAACCGCAUGGUUCAAUAGUGAAAGACGGUUUUGCUGUCACUUAUAGAUGGAUCCGCGCCGUAUUAGCUAGUUGGUAAGGUAACGGCUUACCAAGGCAACGAUGCGUAGCCGACCUGAGAGGGUGAUCGGCCACACUGGAACUGAGACACGGUCCAGACUCCUACGGGAGGCAGCAGUAGGGAAUCUUCCGCAAUGGCGAAAGCCUGACGGAGCAACGCCGCGUGAGUGAUGAAGGUCUUCGGAUCGUAAAACUCUGUUAUUAGGGAAGAACAAAUGUGUAAGUAACUAUGCACGUCUUGACGGUACCUAAUCAGAAAGCCACGGCUAACUACGUG